AGAGGACCUGAGCCCUAGGACCAUGCCUGAGGACUACCUGGACUGAUGACUCCUUGCUGUCUCCAGUCCACCUGGCCAUGCUGCUGCUUCAGUUUCAACUGUUCUGCCUGCGGCUAUGGAACCCUGACCUGUUCACCGGAUGUGCUAGCUGUCCCAGACCUGCUGUUUUCAACUCUCUAGAGACCGCAGGUGCGGUAGAGAUACUCUGAAUGAUCGCCUAUGAAAUGCCAACUGACAUUUACUCCUGAGAACUGCCUGUUGCGCGGUCGUCAAGCGGCUGGUACCACAAUGACAAUGGAUUCCUGACAUAGUUGGAGAGACUUCAACCAGCACCUGCCACCUCUAUCUGGGGAACCUGGGAAAUAAACCCGAGUACUUUCCCAAAUGUACAAAACAACUCAUGCUUUUUUUUCAAUAACAUUUUCCGCAACAUUGUUCUGAAAUAAAUUCUCAGUGAAAUGUGAACAUUUGAUUGAUUAAUUUAAUUUAUUGAAAAAGUUUCAAAUUCAGUCUGUAAGACAACAAAAUGUGUAAAAAUUCAAGGUGUGUGAAUACUUUCUGAAGGCAUUGUAUAUGAAAUGGGAAGGCCAUUGUGCAAACAUUGUGCAAACACCUGUAAUCUCAGAAAUAGCCGUCUGUCUGUCGUGGGUUAUCAAACAGUAUGCUGUUAUUCCUGUUUGAAGACAGGAAAGUGAUCCUGAAGAUUAAAAUAGUGUUCUUCAAUUAUUUUAAUGCCUAAUCUUUUACGUGAAGUGUGUAGUGAUUUUACAAAUACAUUUAGCUCUGUCAGGAAACUGAACAGACAGGCAAGAUGGAACACGCAUCCACACCCGACACACCCACAUCCUGUUUGAUCACCUGAUUAAGCUGAUAAAUACCCAACAGUACUCCCAAGUGAACAACACGUUAUGGAAAUUUUUGACAUAAACUGGUGUUCAAAGAUUAUCCUUUUCAGUAGAGUCACAUCUAGAACUUAUCCGGGCGUUUUAAUACAAACAUUUGCGGAGUUGGAGCGUGAUGAGGGAUAAUGAAGAUGAAAACCAACAUUUUGGCAUUAAAGUAAAAGUUGAGGAAAAUGUCAAAGAAAAAUGUGUCAUUAUAACAAUGAAGUACGGAAAAAAAACAAAAGAAAUUCAUAUUUCUACACUUAGCCUAAAGGAGAAAUUCUCGAAAGAGAAGAGAGCCUUAUUAGACUUUAUAGGUCCUUUUAAUGAAAAUACUGUAUUUAAAAAAAUUACUUUCCAAAAACCAAAUAACACAUUUGAAAGUAACUAUGUGAUUUACAUCACUAGUUUCUAUGAUUAUGUCAACGUAAUUGAGUAUUUCUGGAAAAAUAAGGAAAAAAUACAAAAUAUAACGGACCCAAUUUAUAUAAUAUCAGGGUGUUAUAUUUCUUUAAUAGAUAGGAAUGAUUUCUACAUUAAAACUGAG
rnacentral:lncRNA from 1 species